rnacentral:lncRNA from 1 species
GCCUGAGCCUGCAAAGUUCGCGCCGGCUCCCAAGAAGGGCUCCAAGAAAGCCGUCACCAAAGCCCAGAAGAAAGACGGCAAGAAGCGCAAGCGCAGCCGCAAGGAGAGCUACUCCAUCUACGUGUACAAGGUGCUGAAGCGGGUCCACCCCGACACCGGCAUCUGGUGCAAGGCCAUGGGCAUCAUGAACUCCUUCCUCAACGACAUCUUCGAGCGCAUCGCGGGAGAGGCGUCCCGCCUGGCGCACUACAACAAGCGCUCCACCAUCACGUCCCGGAGAUCCAGACGGCCGUGCGCCUGCUGCUGCCCGGCGAGCUGGCCAAGCACGCCGUGUCCGAGGGCACCAAGGCGGUCACCAAGUACGCCAGCUCCAAGUGAGUCCCUGCCGGGACCUGGCGCUCGCUCGCUCCCUCCCUCCCUCCCUCCGCGGGUCGCCGGCUGCUUUGUCUCCAAAGGCUCUUUUCAGGGCCACUUAACCCCGUUAGUGAAAUAA